rnacentral:lncRNA from 1 species
AGGAAAUUCCACUCCCUGAUAAAGCUCUGCUUUGACACUCCUGCUCACAUAAAAUACCUUCCUUUCCAUCCACAUUACUUUAUGAUCGUGCCCCUUCAUCACGUUGUGCUUAAAAUGCCUUGUCAUCUAAGGAACCAUAAAAAGGACAUCUUAAAAAAUGUGUUCAUUAUGUAGCUGGAGACGUCCUCUGCACCCUCAACCAGAAGCUUGCGCUCUCAGGGCCCUGCCUCUGUGCACGGACAUCAGCCCAGAGAUUGUCCGCACAAAAGUUGGCAUCCUGUAUUGCCUUGGUUCUCUUCGAGUGUGAAUGUUGGUGUCAAAUUUCAGUGUAAGUGACUGAGAGGUGGGAAUCAGAAAUGUCUACGUGAGGGAGAGGGAUGCCUUUACAUCGGGAAGACCCUAGAGUCCAGAGCACAUUGCUCAGUCCCACGUCUCUUGCUGACACAGACUAUUCAUGAAACCAGAGAACUCUAGCUCAAGUCUACGGUUUUGUUGCUUACCUUUUAUACCUAUGGGCUGAGCUAGUACUCUUUGCUCCCAUGACCCCCCACCAAACCAAAUGAAAAUAAGCUCUCCAUGUGCCCCCCGGAGGCUGGGAGCCCUUGAGUCAAUUCAGAAUUGUGGUCUUCCUGUCAUUCUUAAGAUGUUCCCACCAGGUCUCCCUGCUCCUCAGUAUCGCCUUAGGUACUGACAACCUUUUCUCCUACUUACAGCUUUUGAAUGAAAUUAAAACUAAUCCUCUGUGGUUUGGUUAGGUCUUGCGUAAGAUUCCCACACCCCACAAUCAGGGCUUUGCAAGGUAGUGUCAGAAGAGAUAGCCAAGCUACCACACCUCUGCCACGAUGCAGACGAGGAUAAUAUUUUUUGCAUCCUAUGUGGCAGCUUUGAAA